rnacentral:rRNA from 1 species
CCCUUAGAUGUUCUGGGCCGCACGCGUGCUACACUGAGUAAUUCAAUGGGUAAGGGAACGCUAGAGCAUUACCUAAUCUUGAAAUUUGCUCGUGAUGGGGAUCGACGGUUGCAAUUUUCCGUCGUGAACGAGGAAUACCUUGUAGGCGCAUGUCAUCAUCAUUCGCCGAAUACGUCCCUGCCCUUUGUACACACCGCCCGUCGCUCCUACCGAUUGAGUGAUCCGGUGAGGCUCUGGGACCUGGACGGAAAGAGCGUUUCGCUUGUUCUGUUUGGGAAACUUGGUCGAACCUUAUCAUUUAGAGGAAGGAGAAGUCGUAACA